rnacentral:lncRNA from 1 species
UAUUGGACUGAAAAAAAAAAGUUGCUGAGAUGAUAAAGGAUAUGAAAUAGAAGGGCAUGACAUUCGAAGUAAACUCAUCAAAGCAAAGAACUUCCAGAUACUAAAUCAGAGAGAAUCUUAGUAAAUGCACUCAGAUAAACCUUAAGGGGUCCCUUAUUACUGAACUAAAAGUCUUGUGAGAAAAAUAAAUGACACAAGGUUCAAAAA